UAAAAUUGUGGAGACAUUUUGCAGAACCUUUGAAAAUUUUUAUACCAGUGUUCACUCCCAUUAUCCUUUAUGACAGUGUAUUUUCCGACCCUCUGUUGGACACUCUCCUCACCUACUUUUACCUUUGCCAAGUUGAAGACACUAAGUUUUAUACCCAUUUUUUAUUCUGUUGGAGAACAAGAAGCAGGAGGCACCGUAAGAAUGUCUGGAAGGAAAGGGACAGAACAGCAAGAAACUGAAAGCAGUUUCAUUCCCAGGACAGAGCCGGGACUGCUCGCUCUCUCCAGAAGGACAUAGUAUGGGCAUCAGGCCUGGGAUAGGAAUGUUUUGUCUGGUGCCAGAUGUACUCAUGACCCAGUAUGGAAUACGCUGCAGGUGCACAGCCUGUCAAGAGGCCAAAAUACUACGUUGUAUGUGCUCACUGUUAUCAGACAAUUUGCAAAAAUAAAAGAGGCUUGAGCCAGGGGGCCCAGGCUUUGGCUCCUGGAGAGUCUUAGCCCCCUGCUUUGCAAUUCUCUCCUCACCACACCUUCAGGCCCUGUCUCUCUACAGCUGGCGCCAGAACAGGGACCUGAAGGUGGCCGUUUGCCACACUGCUGAAGAAGUGCCACAGGAACCGAAUGGAACUUUGGAGCCGGGAAGCUCAGCCUUCGGGAUUUCUGCAGGUCUGUGCCAGAGACGAUGAGCCUGUCAACAUAUCGACCAACAGUUCGGGUUAUGCAAUGUCCUCCUACAGUCCAUCAAAUACAAACAGAAAGGGGGAGGUGCUGGAGAACAACAGGCCAGAAGCACCCUAAGAAUGCCCUGAAGGAAAGGGACAGAGCAGCAAGAAACUGAAAGCAGUUUCAUUCCCAGGACAAAAGGCCGUUGGGACUGCUCGCUCUCUCCAGAAAGACAUCAUCUGGGCGCCACCCUGGAGAUAAGAAUAUUUUGUCUGGUGCCAGAUGUACUGAUGACCCAGUAUGGAAAACACUGCAGGUACAUGACCUGUCAAGAGGCCAAAUACUAUGUUGUAUGUGCUUGGUGUUGUCAACAAUUUGCAAAAAUCAAAGACGCUUGAGCCAGGGGACCAAGGCUUUGGCUCCUGGAGAGUCGUAGGCCUCUGCUUUGCAAUCCGCUCAUAACACACCUUUAGGACCUGUCUCUCUACAUAUUCCACACGCUCAUGUUCUUUAUGUAUAUUAUUACCAAUAUAUGUGUGUGA